GUUGGCAUCAGUAGCGAGAUGUGGGUGAGAAUCCCACAGGCCGAAAACCUAAGGUUUCCUCAGGAAGGUUCGUCCGCUGAGGGUUAGUCGGGACCUAAGCCGAGGCCGAAAGGCGUAGGUGAUGGACAACUGGUUGAUAUUCCAGUACCACUACCAUCGUUAUUAUCGAUGGCGUGACGCAGGAGGAUAGUGUGUGCUAGCUAUUGGAUGCUAGUCUAAGCGUUUAGGCAGUGAGAGUAGGCAAAUCCGCUCUCAUAAUGCU
rnacentral:rRNA from 1 species